AGGGGGAACACAAGCAGACACAGAGACGUUAAUGCUCCCCAGUGCAAUUGCCACAGUUUCUCUGUCCAGGGGUGCAGCUGAGCAGAUGCCCGGGAGCUGGACCUACCUGGCCAGGGCCUCGGCACCGCAGUCGGCCACAUUGACCUUGCCCCAGAGGCCGGUGAUGAGCUGCUUCUCUUCGGCUGUCCAGUGCACCAUGGU